CAGACAUUGCAGGCUCUUGCCAACCUGAGGUGGAGGCGGGUCCUGGGCUGUCUCUAAAGAGCUCUGGCUUGCCGUGUGAGGAAACGGAAGCACAGAGAAGGUCCAGAAAAUGAACGGAAAACAGGGGCGCCCCCUGUGGGU